CCCCCGCCCCCGGGCUCCUACAGGCGGAGUAUUCCCCCAGCCAAGGGAAAGAAAGGAUCUCCCUCCCAACUGCCUCGGCGCCAAGCACCAGGUCUCGUUAUUACGCCGGCUCCACCUUCCUCCUCUCCCUUUCCAGGGUCCGCUUAGGCAGGGCAGCUCCAGGAUGGCAGAUCCGCCAGCAGGGGCCUUGUCGGUCACCAGCCAGAUAGGCAGCCUGCGUUCCUGGCGGCACGCGGGGUUGGUGGAAGAGCCUGUGGAACUCCGCGACGCCGCCCAGCUCCUAGUGGUGAACGCAGCUGGGCAAGGGAUUCCCUUCGGGGCCGUCUACAGGGAGCAGAAGACGAUCGUGGUGUUUGUGCGGCAUUUCUUGUGUUAUGCUUGUAAAGAAUAUGUGGAGGAUCUGGGCAAAAUUCCCAAGAAACUUUUACAAGAUGCAAAUGUCAGACUUGUAGUUAUUGGACAAUCAUCACAUCACCACAUUAAGCCUUUUUGCACUUUGACAGGCUAUCCUCAUGAAAUGUAUGUGGAUCCUGAAAGGGAAAUUUAUAGAACACUUGGCAUGAAAAGGGGUGAAGCAGCCACCUCAUCAGUGCGAAGCCCUCAUGUAAGAUCCAACUUGCUAUCAGGAAGCAUUAAGAGCAUGUGGAGAGCAAUGGCUAGUCCUGCAUUUGAUUUUCAAGGUGAUCCAGCUCAGCAGGGAGGUACUUUGAUUUUAGGCCCAGGAAAUGAAAUCCACUUUGUGCACCUUGACAAGAACAAGUUGGAUCAUGCUCACAUUAACACUGUGUUGCAGCUUGCUGGAGUUCAAACAGUAAAUUUCACCAACAGAUCUCAGAUUAUUGAUGUGUGACUUGUCAGAAGAAGAAAAAUCCAGAUGGCAGCUUAAAUACUUGGCAGCAGUCUAUUCCAGCAAAUCACUUGGCAUGAGGCUUGCAAUCAGAAAUAUGCAACAAUAAGACAAUGUGCUAUUUCACUAGUUUAUAUGAAGUGAAAAUGGAGCAUGUACAGAAAGGAGGAGACCAGGUAAUUAGCACCAUCUCACAGAACCAGUCUAACAAUAGUAGAUCCACUUCAAUCAAUAAGUUAAAAACAAAGCUAACCCCACUUUGAAAACGGCCCUCAAGAUAUGGAAAUGCUCUUCUACAGGCAAAGCCAAUUCCACAGCAAAACCUUUUUCACAAAGGUUUGACUGGUGAGCAUCUUGCAAUUUGCUUCCUGUGAGGCAGUGAUUUUCAACCUUUUUCAUCUCACGGCACACUGAGAAGGCGCUAAAAUUGUCAAGGCACACUGUCAGUUUUUUAAGAUUGUGUUUAAAGUUCAAUAACUAAAAUUUUAAUCGUGUUAUUUUUUUAAAAAAAUAAAUCAGUGGGAAAUCUGUGCUUGGUGAUUUUUCAUGAUGUCCCUUGUCUGAGGGUGGAUGGUUGACAAGCAUACCCUCAAGUCCUUCUCCAGUGUUUGAAGCUGCGACCUGUUCUUGCUCUUUAUUGUAUUCAUAGCAGAGAAACCAGCCUCACACAGAUAAGAUGUUGAGAAAGGAAGAAGUGCUUUAAUCGCCAUCUUUGUGAUGAUGGGGUACUCGGAGAGACAACCAGAAUGAGGCCAUAUCUGUUGAUGAGUGUUUCAUUUUCAGUCCUCUAUUAUUUCUGAUUUCCGUCAGCUCAUCUUCUUCUGCAACAGUUAAUUCUGCUGACUCGCACACACUUAACUCAAAUGGAUCUCUCACCCAGUCCAAGGAAGAUACAUCAAGUGACGGGAAAUACUUUUCAAUGUUUUUACUCAGCAGUGACAAACUUUGUAGAAUUAAAUUGUCAAGAUUUUUGUCCAGUCUGCAACUUUUUGUCAGUUCAAACAUUUCAACUUUGUUCUCUUUUUUGAUUCUGGCUCCCCACAGUGUUAGUUUUUCCUUGAAGGAGAUAACUUUGUCAGUACAAGUUAGAAUAUUUUCAUUCUUUCCCUGCAUACUCUUGUUAAGAGUGUUCAAAGCUUGGAAAAUGUCAAUUAGGAAUGCAACUUUAUUGCACCAGGUCUCAUCACUAAGCAGGUCAGCCAGCUCAGACUCUUCUGAUGUAAAAAAAAUUAGAAGCUCUUCUCUCAGUUCAUACAACCUUGAAAGCACCCGCCCUCGAGAUAGCCAUCUCACUUCCGUGUGCAAUAGAAGUUGUGUGUGAGCAGCUUCCAUGGCAGAACACAGUACUGGAAACAACCUCGAUUUUAAUGGCCUACUCUUGAUGUAGUUAACCAUUUUGAUCGUCUCAGCCAGUACUUUUUGGAGUUCACGUAGUACUGACUUUGAAAUGAGGGCCUCUCUGUGCAGGAAACAGUGUGUAAAAACAAUGCCAGGGUUCUUUUGUUUGGCCAGUGCGAUGAAUCCUCUUAGGCUUCCCGACAUAGAGGGAGCACCGUCCGUGCAGAUGCUGAUGCAUGAUUUCCAUGACAAAUCGUGAGAAUUGAAAUAAUGUUGACAACAUCAAAAAUGUCUUGGCCUCUUGUUGUUUCUGGAAGUGAUUUGCAAAAUAACAAUUGUACAAUGAUGUCUCCAUUAAAAACAAACCUGCUGAAUGCUAGGAGUUGAGCUUUUCCGGUGAUGUCAGUUGACUCGUCCAACUGGAUAGCAAAGAAAUUGGCUUCUUUAAUGUUAGUUAUCACUUGUGACUCAAUGUCUUGGGACAUGUCCUGUAUAACAGUGUUAUCUGACACAGGGAAAGUGUCUUUUCAGCUUACUUGGAACCAUAACUUGGUUUGCCAGUUUCUCACUGCAAACAACACACUUAGGACGUGGCACUUCUUCUCCCGAUGAAAUGAAUCCGAAGGACAAAUGGUCUUCAUUAUACUGGCGCACGACGGUUUUAGAACUAACACUGACGGUAUUAUGUGCGUUACUACUUGGGCUAGUGCCAGCCACACCUGAUGCAUUGUCAUCGUCCAACUUACGUUUUUUAAUUAAAAAUCUAUCCAUGUCUAAUAAGACCUGGAAAAAAAUUUAAGAACUAAAUUCAAAAAUAACAAAAUAACUAAAACAAAAUAGAAAUAACAAACUAUUUAUCUUGACAUUUUGGACAGUCUGGUAGUUUGAGAAUUUUCUCAUGCAGCAACACCCCAAGAAAGCUGAGCUUUUAUGCAAAAAGGACUGACAAACGUAUAAACCAGGCCAAGACCACCUAGGAAAGACCACCUACUAAAUUGUUAUUUAUUUUAACUGAUUUUAAUACUGUGUUUUUAUACUGUUGUAACAAUAUAUUAUUGUAACCCUGGAUAUGAAACCUCCCGCCUGAAUCCCCUGCUCUUCGGCUGCGUGCCUGAGUGGCUU